rnacentral:rRNA from 1 species
AUGAUGACGGUGAGUGGCGGCGGCGACUGCGGUGGGCCUGCCGGUGGCGGAGACGACAGACCACCGGAGGCAGAUCUCUGCGGCAGCUCAAACCCCGGCGCCCCUUCGGACAGCAGCCCCAACCCCAGCCCCCGGCACUCACUUGAGUUCGCGGCGGCUAGAUCUUGGGCCAGGGCAGUGAAGGCGGAUCCGACGGAAAGCCACCGGUGGGGCUCUUCAUUCGGCGGCGUCUAUUUGGACGAUGUUGUUUGGGAAGUUAGAAUGCACUUCCAUGAAAGAGACAACUUGAAGAGAUCCCUCUGCAUCUCAGACAUCACAUAUCACAAUUUGGUAGCAUUAAUAGAGACAGAGGGCUAUGGGCUGAAUGAUUACAUUUACUUUGUGAGGGAGCCUGGUGUGGGUAUUGAAGGAUUGGUAGAAAUUUCUGAUGAUGACAAGGUGGAUGAAAUGCUUGACCAUAUUGCUAAUAAGGAUCGGAAUGUAGUGAAUUUGACAGUGAUUAGGGCCACUCAUCCAAGACCUGCAGAUUUGAAUUCAGGAUAUUUGUAUGAGGAGCAGGUUCCUUUGAGUCAAUUAGGAGAAAAACAUGUCUAUGAAGUCAAUCCUUCUGGAGUUCUAUUCAAAUCACCUGAGAAAUCAAAUAAACAGAGGCAGUCAGAGCCACUUCAGUUCUUUUCCACAUAG